AACGAACGCUGGCGGCAUGCCUAACACAUGCAAGUCGAACGAGACCUUCGGGUCUAGUGGCGCACGGGUGCGUAACGCGUGGGAACCUGCCCUUAGGUUCGGAAUAACUCCCCGAAAGGGGUGCUAAUACCGGAUAAUGUCUUCGGACCAAAGAUUUAUCGCCUUUGGAUGGGCCCGCGUUGGAUUAGCUAGUUGGUAGGGUAAAAGCCUACCAAGGCGACGAUCCAUAGCUGGUCUGAGAGGAUGAUCAGCCACACUGGGACUGAGACACGGCCCAGACUCCUACGGGAGGCAGCAGUGGGGAAUAUUGGACAAUGGCCGAAAGCCUGAUCCAGCAAUGCCGCGUGAGUGAUGAAGGCCUUAGGGUUGUAAAGCUCUUUUACCCGGGAUGAUAAUGACAGUACCGGGAGAAUAAGCUCCGGCUAACUCCGUG
rnacentral:rRNA from 1 species